rnacentral:rRNA from 1 species
UACGUAGGGGGCAAGCGUUAUCCGGAAUUAUUGGGCGUAAAGAGUGCGUAGGUGGUAACUUAAGCGCGGGGUUUAAGGCAAUGGCUUAACCAUUGUUCGCCCUGCGAACUGGGUUACUUGAGUGCAGGAGAGGAAAGCGGAAUUCCUAGUGUAGCGGUGAAAUGCGUAGAUAUUAGGAGGAACACCAGUGGCGAAGGCGGCUUUCUGGACUGAAACUGACACUGAGGCACGAAAGUGUGGGGAGCAAACAGG